rnacentral:rRNA from 1 species
GACGGAGGGUGCAAGCGUUAUUCGGAAUUACUGGGCUUAAAGGGCUCGUAGGCGGCUGUGUGUGUCCGUGGUGAAAUCCCUCGGCUCAACCGAGGAAUGGCUGCGGAAACUGCACGGCUUGAGGGUGGGAGGGGUAAACGGAAUUCCCGGUGUAGCGGUGAAAUGCGUAGAUAUCGGGAGGAACGCCGGUGGCGAAGGCGGUUUACUGGUCCAUUCCUGACGCUGAGGAGCGAAAGCCAGGGGAGCAAACGGG